rnacentral:rRNA from 1 species
UGAAUCCUACGGGGCGCAGCAGUGAGGAAUAUUGGUCAAUGGUCGGGAGACUGAACCAGCCACGCCGCGUGAGGGAUGAAGGUACAGAGUAUCGUAAACCUCUUUUGUCAGGGAACAAAGGCGGGGACGUGUCCCCGGAUGAGUGUACCUGAAGAAAAAGCAUCGGCUAACUACGUGCCAGCAGCCGCGGUAAUACGUAGGUGGCAAGCGUUGUCCGGCUUUAUUGGGCGUAAAGCGAGUGCAGGCGGUUCCAAAAGGCUG